rnacentral:rRNA from 1 species
GCGAAAAGAACCCCGGCGAGGGGAGUGAAAAAGAACCUGAAACCGUGUACGUACAAGCAGUGGGAGCACCUUCGGGUGUGACUGCGUACCUUUUGUAUAAUGGGUCAGCGACUUAUAUUCUGUAGCAAGGUUAACCGUAUAGGGGAGCCGCAGGGAAACCGAGUCUUAACUGGGCGUUAAGUUGCAGGGUAUAGACCCGAAACCCGGUGAUCUAGCCAUGGGCAGGUUGAAGGUUGGGUAACACUAACUGGAGGACCGAACCGACUAAUGUUGAAAAAUUAGCGGAUGACUUGUGGCUGGGGGUGAAAGGCCAAUCAAACCGGGAGAUAGCUGGUUCUCCCCGAAAGCUAUUUAGGUAGCGCCUCGUGAAUUCAUCUUCGGGGGUAGAGCACUGUUUCGGCUAGGGGGUCAUCCCGACUUACCAACCCGAUGCAAACUACGAAUACCGAAGAAUGUUAUCACGGGAGACACACGGCGGGUGCUAACGUCCGUCGUGAAGAGGGAAACAACCCAGACCGCCAGCUAAGGUCCCAAAGUCAUGGUUAAGUGGGAAACGAUGUGGGAAGGCACAGACAGCCAGGAUGUUGGCUUAGAAGCAGCCAUCAUUUAAAGAAAGCGUAAUAGCUCACUGGUCGAGUCGGCCUGCGCGGAAGAUGUAACGGGGCUAAACCAUGCACCGAAGCUGCGGCAGCGACACUAUGUGUUGUUGGGUAGGGGAGCGUUCUGUAAGCCUGCGAAGGUGACCUGUGAGGGUUGCUGGAGGUAUCAGAAGUGCGAAUGCUGACAUAAGUAACGAUAAAGCGGGUGAAAAGCCCGCUCGCCGGAAGACCAAGGGUUCCUGUCCAACGUUAAUCGGGGCAGGGUGAGUCGACCCCUAAGGCGAGGCCGAAAGGCGUAGUCGAUGGGAAACAGGUUAAUAUUCCUGUACUUGGUGUUACUGCGAAGGGGGGACGGAGAAGGCUAUGUUAGCCGGGCGACGGUUGUCCCG